rnacentral:rRNA from 1 species
GACGAACGCUGGCGGCGUGCCUAAUACAUGCAAGUUGAGCGCUGAAGGUUGGUACUUGUACCAACUGGAUGAGCAGCGAACGGGUGAGUAACGCGUGGGUAAUCUGCCUUUGAGCGGGGGACAACAUUUGGAAACGAAUGCUAAUACCGCAUAAAAACUUUAAACACAAGUUUUAAGUUUGAAAGAUGCAAUUGCAUCACUCAAAGAUGAUCCCGCGUUGUAUUAGCUAGUUGGUGAGGUAAAGGCUCACCAAGGCGAUGAUACAUAGCCGACCUGAGAGGGUGAUCGGCCACAUUGGGAAUGAGACACGGCCCAAACUCCUACGGGAGGCAGCAGUAGGGAAUCUUCGGCAAUGGACGAAAGGCUGACCGAGCAACGCCGCGUGAGGGAAGAAGGUUUUCGGAUCGUAAAACUCUGUUGGUAGAGAAGAACGUUGGUGAGAGUGGAAAGCUCAUCAAGUGACGGUAACUACACAGAAAGGGACGGCUAACUACGUG